rnacentral:lncRNA from 1 species
UCAAUCUUAAAAGGGGUGCAGGUUCCUACUUAAUCCAUUCAUAUUCGUAAAGAACCCAAAUAAUUGGUGUUUAUAUGGCAAAAGUGAUCUUUGCUUAUUGCUUCCCUUCCUCUUUUUAUUUAUCAAAUAAAGCUUCUCGUAUGUCGAUAAUGCCUUUUUGGGUUGUUCUUCCUUCCUUUUUUUAAUGACGAUGCUUUCUACUUUUGUCUUGACAUGAUUUUCUGGCACCGAAGAAUUCAAUAUCACUAAAGAAUCCCUAUUGUCACUAUUACAUCU